UACAACAGACCGCAGUGCGAAACACCAGUCAGUGUUCGGUAGGUUUUGUUCAGAUUUCCUUGUGCAAAAAACCGUCUCGCGUCGUGUCGAUCCGAGAAAACAAGAAAUCAGGUUGCGGGAUCAGAGCGACUACGAUGAGCCUGUGGCCGUCAGACAUCGGGAAGAGACCGUCGCGAGCGGACAAGUGAAUUUCCUCCACGCAGCAGCAGAAACCAAAGCAAAAUAAAUACGGUAGUGUUCCGCGAAUCGGCCACGAAGCCAAGGGCAGAUCGUAUACAGAGUGGAAGUGCAAAAUAAGAGUGUUCCAGUUUAGUGCUGUGUUUUCUUUCUCGAGGGAGAAAUUUAGUGUAGCAGUAAUCAAGUUCAGCUCUUUAAUCUCGGAAGUGCAAAGCCCAAAACAUCAAAAGUGUUGUGAUAAGGGAAACUAAACAAAAGCAUGAGUGAAAUGUCUUGCAAGGGUAGUCCGACUUCGAGCGCCAGUGCCCGGAUAAGCCUGGUCACCGACGAGAGCCAUUUCAGCCUGGCCAGCCUGAACUCCUCCGUCAGCCAGGAUGAGUUCUUCCGCUGCAGGGAACAUUCGGAUCUGGUGCUGAAAAGGAUGCAAGAAUACCUACAGAACGAGAAGCUGUGCGAUGUAGUCUUGAUCGCAGGAUUAGAUGGCAAGCGCAUUCCAGCCCACCGUUUGGUACUGUCGGCAUCCUCAGCCUACUUCAGUGCAAUGUUCACCGGCCAUCUGCGGGAGAGUCAACAGGAAGAAAUCACCCUCCAGGAAGUGUCCGGUGAAGCGUUGCAGCUUCUCAUCCAGUAUUGCUACACGGGAACCAUAGAGCUGCGGGAAGAUACGGUCGAAACCCUGCUCGCAACCGCUUGUCUACUUCAGCUCAGCACGAUCGUCAACGCGUGCUGUACGUUCCUUGCCCGCCAGCUGCACCCGUCCAAUUGCUUGGGAUUCUCGCUAUUCGCCGAGCAGCAGGGAUGUACCGCACUGCUAAAAAUCGCAUCGGCCUACACUUGCCAGCACUUUAUGCAGGUCUGGAAGAAUCAGGAAUUCUUCCAGCUGGAUUCAGUGCAACUUUCAACGCUACUGAAAAGCGACGACUUAAAUGUUCCUAACGAGCAGGAGGUAUUUCACGCACUGAUGGCCUGGAUUCAGUUCGAUUCGGAAAAUCGAAAACAGUACAUACCAGAACUGUUGGCGCUGAUACGAUUGCCACUUCUGCAACCAUCGUUCAUAGUCGAUCACGUGGAAGCUCUCUGCGGUGCUAACGAGUGCCAACAGUUGGUGAUGGAGGCGUUCAAAUGGCAUCUUAUUCCCGGAAGACGAUCGCAAAUAUCAACGCAACGAACAAGACCGCGAAAGUCUACGAUUGGUAAACUGCUGGCUGUUGGAGGAAUGGACGGUCAUAAAGGCGCUAUUAGCAUAGAAAGCUACGAGCCACGUUUGGACAAGUGGACUCUGUUGAAGAAUAUGCCAGCCAGACGACUCCAGUUCGGCGUUGCCGUAAUGGAUGAUAAGCUUAUUAUUGUUGGCGGUAGAGAUGGUCUGAAGACGCUGAAUACCGUUGAGUGUUUUGACUUGACAACGAUGACCUGGAGCUCGAUCGUGCCACCGAUGGGCACGCCUAGACACGGUCUAGGAGUUGCAUUCCUAGAAGGGCCACUGUACGCGGUUGGUGGACACGAUGGGUGGAGUUAUCUAGCAACCGUUGAACGAUGGGAUCCUGCUGCCCGUACGUGGAGCUACGUAGCACCAAUGUCUUCUAUGAGAUCCACUGCCGGAGUUGCAGUUCUGAAUGCCAGAUUGUUUGUGAUUGGAGGCAGAGAUGGAAGCGUGUGCCAUCGAACGGUUGAGUGUUACGAUCCUCAUACGAACAAGUGGACCUUGCGUGCACCAAUGAAUAAGCGACGAGGAGGUGUAGGGGUUGGCGUCCUAAAUGGAUAUCUGUAUGCCUUGGGAGGACAUGAUUGUCCGGCAAGUAAUCCAGCAGUUUGCAGAACCGAAACAGUGGAACGAUAUGAUCCUACGACUGAUACUUGGACUCUGAUCGCUUCGCUCAGUGUAGGACGCGAUGCCAUCGGUGUGAGUGUACUGGGUGAUUGGCUUAUCGCCGUUGGAGGCUACGAUGGUAAUCAGUAUUUGAAAACGGUCGAGCAGUACGACACGGAAAGUAACGAAUGGCAACAGAUCGCCCCUGUCAAUUAUAGCCGUGCUGGUGCCUGCGUGGUGGCAAUCCCCAACAAUUUUACAUCCACCGCGGGAACCACUGUAGUCGCAACUAGUGGCCCAUCGGUGGCUUCGAUAGCUGGAGCGUUGGUGUCAUCUUCAUCCUCGACGAACACUGCGGUUUAGUACAAGAGUUCCACUACGGCACUGAUUGCUAGUGAUGCUUCUCCAUUCCUAAGGGCGUCCCUCAUUCAACGGACGUUUCAAAUAAUACAGCAUCUCGCGUGUUCGUGUGUUUACUACUAUCCAUUUUACUGCUAAGUAUUGUUAGAGUCUAAUCAAAGAACGAAGUUGCAAAGGGCGCAACUGAAAGGAUACCAUCCAUUAAGCAAGUCAUCUGAAACGUUUACACCUGCGAAUAUGAAAUCAAACGAAACGAUAUAUUUUUCAUAAAGUAGCUAUAACCCCGUCAUAUACAAGCAGGCACACAUUGUCCUAUAGAAAACAAAUGGAAACCGCACAAUCACCUCUUCUGUCCGUAAUAGCAUGCACAAGAACUACAAUCUAACACUAUUAUAGAAUGAAACUCGUUUUACUGAACAAAGCGCUCUAAUCGAAUGCUGCUGCAUACAGUGUUUAAGUAACAGAGGAGCGGGUUCCUCUCGUAGCGGUAACUAUUACUAUAGGCGUCAAUUUAGGAUCUUUGAUUAUUACGUUUAGAACGCAAGGCUGCCCAUCCAAGUGAAGAUAUAUGUAUCGAACUAUUCCUACGUUAUACAAGAUAAUGCGAUAGAUUAGGACAAACCCCCAAAUCGAAUCCUACCCACAUUGCAAUGAAGACGAUUUUCUUUCCUGUGAUGAUUUUAUUCUAUUAUAUUUUAGAAAAUAGUUUCAUUUAUCCACAUUUAUACAGCUUUCCAGUGUAACGCGAAGCAUAGCAAGCCAACCCUCGCGAUUUGCGAUCCCCGCCGGAUGCUGCGCGUCAUUCUGCCUGUCCCCGGUCCCUCCCACUUCUGAGAUUAGUUAGCAAGUUCGAUGAUGUGAUUGAUGGUCAUUCGCCCAUGCCCAAAGAUUUGUAGCCAAAAUAAGACAACACAAGGGAGACAGGAAACUAAAAAACCGCGGAUCCGGUGGGAGAUCGCGGCGAGAUUUUAGUUACUUUAUCUGUGAUCGGCUAAAUCAAUUAAAUUUAAAAUGAACGAAGUAGCAGGGAAUCUAGGUACUUUUGAUCGAUUUGAUUUUCUCUCAAUGUAUACUCCUGCGUGGCUGUUAGGUUAAGUAUUAUGUGAGUUGUGAGCAAAUUCAGGAGCAGAACCCGGUUAGAACAGGGGAAGGGCCCAGUAUGUGACAAAACUUUCGGUUUAUUAAAUGAUUUUUUUUAAGUAGAAAGCAAGCGAGUAUACAAGCUUGUUCAAUAGAAGUUUAACGAACGAAAGACGAGUGUAGCAUACGCUUGAAGACAG